GACGAACGCUGGCGGCGUGCUUAACACAUGCAAGUCGAACGGAAAGGCCCUGCUUUUGUGGGGUGCUCGAGUGGCGAACGGGUGAGUAACACGUGAGUAACCUGCCCUUGACUUUGGGAUAACUUCAGGAAACUGGGGCUAAUACCGGAUAGGAGCUCCUGCUGCAUGGUGGGGGUUGGAAAGUUUCGGCGGUUGGGGAUGGACUCGCGGCUUAUCAGCUUGUUGGUGGGGUAGUGGCUUACCAAGGCUUUGACGGGUAGCCGGCCUGAGAGGGUGAACGGCCACAUUGGGACUGAGAUACGGCCCAGACUCCUACGGGAGGCAGCAGUGGGGAAUAUUGCACAAUGGGCGGAAGCCUGAUGAAGCAACGCCGCGUGCGGGAUGACGGCCUUCGGGUUGUAAACCGCUUUCGCCUGUGACGAAGCGUGAGUGACGGUAAUGGGUAAAGAAGCACCGGCUAACUACGUG
rnacentral:rRNA from 1 species